rnacentral:rRNA from 1 species
UACGUAGGGCGCAAGCGUUAUCCGGAAUUAUUGGGCGUAAAGAGCUCGUAGGCGGUUUGUCGCGUCUGCCGUGAAAGUCCGGGGGCUCAACUCCGGAUCUGCGGUGGGUACGGGCAGACUAGAGUGAUGUAGGGGAGACUGGAAUUCCUGGUGUAGCGGUGAAUGCGCAGAUAUCAGGAGGAACACCGAUGGCGAAGGCAGGUCUCUGGGCAUUAAACUGACGGCUGAGGAGCGAAAGCAUGGGGAGCGAACAGG